GACGAACCGUGCGAACGUUGUUCGGAAUCACUGGGCUUAAAGGGCGCGUAGGCGGACCUCCAAGUCCGGGGUGAAAUCUUCGGCUUAACCGGAAAAGUGCCUUGGAUACUGGGGGUCUCGAGGGAGGCAGGGCGGAUGGAACUUCCGGUGGAGCGGGUGGAAAUGCGUUGAGAUCGGAAGGAACGCCCGUGGCGAAAAGCGAGGUCCUGGACGCCUACUGACGCUGAGACGCGAAAGCCAGGGAGCGAACCGGGG
rnacentral:rRNA from 1 species